UCAAAUGGUGGCAGCUAUGAGUAAGCUAUG
rnacentral:piRNA from 1 species